CUCCAUUCUCCAUCUCCAUUCCAAUGAUCAUCUCCUCACAUGUCUUUCCUAAUAAAUUCCAUCUGAGCAUCGUGAAUCCUUCAUUCGUUUCAUUCAACACGGCUAUUCUGACCCAAAUCAAAGGACGCUUCUUUCUAAACCCUAGCCUCCUUCAUCUCGCUCUUCUGGAUCAAUCAUAUUCUCAUCAAAUGGUUCAAUAAUCAGGUAUGAUUCCUUUCAAUCACAGGUCACGGAGUAUAGACUUUCGGCUCCGAACCGAUAUAUCACCGAGAUAUCACCGAUAUUAACUGCAUAGGGCUAACUAUGUAUUGAAGAACUUGCUAAACUAUCACAAUGAAGGUACGUUGGAAUCUUCACAGCCCACGCGUAUUUCCUAAACCCUAGCUAUCAAAAUCAUCUUCCUUCUUGACUAUUCUACGAUCCAGACGCAAUCAGAUGCAGUCUUUUCAAGUGCAGUUUGUAUGUCUCGCAACGUCAGUUAUCCUGUUCGACUUGGAUUUAAGCGAACUUCAAUAGUCAUUAUCCCCUCGGUAUUAAGGUUGGUGCAGUUCGUUCAUUCGAGAAUAUCCAAUUCUGCAUCUCAACAGAUUUGCUAGCUCUCAUUGAGGUUCUUACCAUCUAGUGUCCAAAUAAUCUUGUGGGGAUCACACAAAUUACUCAAGUUUUUCAAGAUACUAACAUUGGUUAAUCAAGAUAAUGACAAAACUGCACUUCAGGCCGUCUCUCACGGGAGUUCAGUACAUGAUAUAGUGUAUAUGCUCUUUAAUGGAUUGUAGAAGUUAAUGGGAAACUAACUCUUAAUGUAACAAAGGUACAUAUUAUAAAUGCUUUUAUUAAUGAGGUCACAAUGGAUAUGGUUUAGCAUGUUGUGGUCUAGAGUUGACAAAAAUUUCUAAUAUUUUCAUUUUUAUAUUCAUAAAAAGAUUUAAGGGU
rnacentral:lncRNA from 1 species